GCUCCUCCACCACUAUAACUACUGCUUCAAGUAAUCAACGCUAGUAAUCCCAUCUCAUCUUUUCUCAAAAUCUUUACUUGAUUGAAAAUGAAUUCCAAGCCUUUUCUUCUCCUCUGUCUUCUGUUGGCAGCUGUUCUUCUCACCUCCUUAGCUGCGUCAGCUAAGACAUCUAUAGAUGAGAAAAAUGCUGAUCAGCAAGCAAACCAGGUAGAUCAUGCAAGCACUCAGGGGGGUUGCGGGUAUGGAUCAGGUUAUGUUACUAACAGAAGAGGGCGUAUCGCUCAGAGUCUGGGUUGCAAAAAUGGCUGUUGUUCUUGGGGUCCUCGUAAAAUAUGCAGAAGGUGCUGCUCUAGUGCAGAAGAAGCUCUCAACAACAAGAAAAAUUAAGAAUCCCAUGCCAGCUGGGAACUGAACCCUGACGUAUAUUACUCUAUGUAAUGUAUGGGGAAUUAUGAAUAAGAUGCAUGAGGGUAUUGUCUUCCCUUUCAUGCCUGGUCGCUUCUAGUGCUUGUGGAUCAUGUUAUGAAGCUGUAUCAAAUGAAAGUUCAUGAAAGCAAGGUACCACAUCCGGCAUCACAUAGGACCGUAAUUUGGGCAACAACUAAUUAAGGUCUAAGCCAGACUCUCUUGUCGGUUGCCUCGUAUGAGCUCUUUCUCAUUAGACAUAUAAGACUUUGAAUUGAAUACGAAAGCCUAAAGUCCAGCCAAAUUAAUUUUCGUCGGUCAUCUGUGCCUUUAUGUGGUAAAUGACACACCAGUUAGUCAUCAUCUUGCGCUCCCCACCCCUACAAAUCCCGCUGCAGCAUGCUAUCAGUUCCAUUCCUUAAUCUCUAAAUCUUCCUUCAAUUCCGGGAAAAAUGAACUCCAAGGCUUUUACUUUCCUUAGUCUUCUAUUUGCUGUUGUUCUUCUCACCUCUUUCAUGGUGUCAGCCGAGAAGAAUGGUCAGCAUCAUUGUCUCUCUCUAGCUCCUUUUCCUUUUUCUUCUUAUUUUAACUCUUAUUUGCAAGAAAUUGACUACAAGGGGGCAAAAAGGAAAUUUAUUUCAAAUGACGUGCUAAAGCACCAUGAAUAAUUUUUUAUUUUUCUAAGUUUGAGAAUUCAGUAAACUAGCAGAAGAAAUAUUUUGGGGUAUGCCCAGAUAUCAAAUUCAAAGAAUAUGUGUAUAAGACAAGUUGUAUAUAUUUCUGAAGUAGAAGCCGCUGACGAGAAAGCAAACCAGGCAGCUGAUGCAAGCACUCAGGAUGGUGGAGGCGGUCAUGGAGGAGGAACCCAUGGUAAUGAAAGAGGAAUUAACUUUCUCAGUUGUACACGUGGUUGCUGUGCUUGGGGCGGGGGGGCCAGAACAUUUUGCGUAAAGUGCUGCUCUAAUCAAGAAGAAGCGCAGGACAACACGAAAAAUGAACCCCACGCCUGAGAACUAAACCCAAGUCUAAUACCCUAUGUAAUAUAUUAGGAAUAUAUGAAUAAGUGGUGCAUGGGUUGUCUUCU